GAGUUUGAUCAUGGCUCAGAUUGAACGCUGGCGGCAGGCCUAACACAUGCAAGUCGAGCGGAUGACGGGAGCUUGCUCCUUGAUUCGGCGGCGGACGGGUGAGUAAUGCCUAGGAAUCUGGCCUGGUAGUGGGGGACAACGUUUCGAAAGGAACGCUAAUACCGCAUACGUCCUACGGGAGAAAGCAGGGGACCUUCGGGCCUUGCGCUAUCAGAUGAGCCUAGGUCGGAUUAGCUAGUUGGUGGGGUAGUGGCUCACCAAGGCGACGAUCCGGUAACUGGUCUGAGAGGAUGAUCAGUCACACUGGAACUGAGACACGGUCCAGACUCCUACGGGAGGCAGCAGUGGGGAAUAUUGGACAAUGGGCGAAAGCCUGAUCCAGCCAUGCCGCGUGUGUGAAGAAGGUCUUUCGGAUUGUAAAGCACUUUAAGUUGGGAGGAAGGGCAGUAAGUUAAUACCUUGCUGUUUUGACGUUACCGACAGAAUAAGCACCGGCUAACUCUGUGCCAGCAGCCG
rnacentral:rRNA from 1 species